rnacentral:misc_RNA from 1 species
UCAGUCAUCAACUUAUGGGAAGGUUCUGGUUUUGGAUGGGGUGAUUCAGCUUACUGAGAGAGAUGAAUGUGCUUACCAAGAGAUGAUCACCCACCUCCCACUUUGCUCAAUUCCAAACCCCAAAAAGGUUCUAGUUAUUGGUGGAGGAGAUGGCGGUGUCUUACGAGAGGUGGCUCGUCAUUCAUCUGUUGAGCAGAUAGAUAUCUGUGAAAUUGACAAGAUGGUAGUUGACGUUUCCAAAGAAUUUUUCCCUCGCGUAGCUGUUGGGUAUGAGGAUCCUCGCGUCACUCUUCAUGUUGGUGAUGGCGUUGCAUUUCUGAAGGCUGUUCCUGAAGGCACUUAUGAUGCAAUUAUAGUGGAUUCUUCUGAUCCUAUUG